rnacentral:lncRNA from 10 species
AUUUUUUUCAAAGUGUUCUCAGCUGUUCUUAUUUGUGUUUUCAUCUAUAGGAGUUCUGCAAUAAAAUGCCUGCUUUCUCCACCAGAUGGUAUUCACAAAAAUAGCUCACAUUAUGUUUUGCUUGUUUGCAAGUCAACAAGAUGAGGUCACCGAAAAGGUCUAACUGAUUCUGUCUGCUCAGGAAUGUUUCAGGCUUGGUCUCCCUUUUAAUUUACCUCGUAAAUCAUUUUGUAAUUUUUAUCUCCUACCCAUUCUGUAACUUGUUAAUUACUUUUAUACACAUGUAAUAUCUUUUAUGUGUGAUUUCUAAGUAUAUUACUAGUGAACAUUGACUGUUACAAGGCAUACCUUGUCUUAUUGCAAUUUAUUGUGCUUCCCAAGUGUUGGAUUUCUUACAAAUUGAGGGGUUUUGGCAACCUUACCUUCAGUGACUCUGUCAACAAUAUUUUUUCCAACACCAUGUGAUCUGUGUGUGUGUGUGUAUCU